UACGACCACGUCACGUUGAAACAUUGGUUUCCAUACGAUCCCCGAAGUUAAGCAACGUCGAGUUUGCUCAUUACUUCGUUGGGUGACCGCUUCGGAAUACAAGGU